rnacentral:rRNA from 1 species
GAUGAACGCUGGCGGCGUGCCUAAUACAUGCAAGUCGAGCGAACAGACGAGGAGCUUGCUCCUCUGACGUUAGCGGCGGACGGGUGAGUAACACGUGGAUAACCUACCUAUAAGACUGGGAUAACUUCGGGAAACCGGAGCUAAUACCGGAUAAUAUAUUGAACCGCAUGGUUCAAUAGUGAAAGACGGUUUUGCUGUCACUUAUAGAUGGAUCCGCGCCGCAUUAGCUGGUUGGUAAGGUAACGGCUUACCAGGCAACGAUGCGUAGCCGACCUGAGAGGGUGAUCGGCCACACUGGAACUGAGACACGGUCCAGACUCCUACGGGAGGCAGCAGUAGGGAAUCUUCCGCAAUGGGCGAAAGCCUGACGGAGCAACGCCGCGUGAGUGAUGAAGGUCUUCGGAUCGUAAAACUCUGUUAUUAGGGAAGAACAAAUGUGUAAGUAACUAUGCACGUCUUGACGGUACCUAAUCAGAAAGCCACGGCUAACUACGUG